AACGAACGCUGGCGGCAUGCCUAACACAUGCAAGUCGAACGAGACCUUCGGGUCUAGUGGCGCACGGGUGCGUAACGCGUGGGAACCUGCCCUUAGGUUCGGAAUAACUCCCCGAAAGGGGUGCUAAUACCGGAUAAUGUCUUCGGACCAAAGAUUUAUCGCCUUUGGAUGGGCCCGCGUUGGAUUAGCCAGUUGGUAGGGUAAAAGCCUACCAAGGCGACGAUCCAUAGCUGGUCUGAGAGGAUGAUCAGCCACACUGGGACUGAGACACGGCCCAGACUCCGACGGGAGGCAGCAGUGGGGAAUAUUGGACAAUGGGCGAAAGCCUGAUCCAGCAAUGCCGCGUGAGUGAUGAAGGCCUUAGGGUUGUAAAGCUCUUUUACCCGGGAUGAUAAUGACAGUACCGGGAGAAUAAGCUCCGGCUAACUCCGUG
rnacentral:rRNA from 1 species